GCCUUCAUAGCUCAGUUGGUUAGAGCGCCAGCUAGUCUAGUAAACUGGAGGUCGAGAGUUCGACUCUCUCUGAAGGCU